rnacentral:rRNA from 1 species
AGAGUUUGAUCCUGGCUCAGAACGUACGCUGGCGGCACGCCUAAUACAUGCAAGUCGAACGAAGUAGCAAUACUUAGUGGCAGACGGGUGAGUAACAUGUGGGUAUCUUCCCUUUGGUGAGGAAUAACACGAGGAAACUUGUGCUAAUACCUCAUAAGUCUUUACGGAGAAAGCUUUAUGCGCCAUUGGAUGAGCCCGCACUUGAUUAGUUUGUUGGUGGGGUAAUGGCCUACCAAGACUGUGAUCAAUAGCUGAUUUGAGAGGAUGAUCAGCCACAUUGGGACUGAGACACGGCCCAAACUCCUACGGGAGGCAGCAGUAGGGAAUCUUGCACAAUGGAGGAAACUCUGAUGCAGCGAUGCCGCGUGAGUGAAGAAGGCCUUUGGGUUGUAAAGCUCUUUCGUCGGGGAAGAAAAUGACUGUACCCGAAUAAGAAGGUCCGGCUAACUUCGUGCCAGCAGCCGCGGUAAUACGAAGGGACCUAGCGUAGUUCGGAAUUACUGGGCUUAAAGAGUUCGUAGGUGGUUAAAAUAGUUGGUGGUGAAAUCCCAGAGCUUAACUCUGGAACUGCCAUCAAAACUUUUUAGCUAGAGUAUGAUAGAGGAAAGCAGAAUUUCUAGUGUAGAGGUGAAAUUCGUAGAUAUUAGAAAGAAUACCAAUUGCGAAGGCAGCUUUCUGGAUCAUUACUGACACUGAGGAACGAAAGCAUGGGUAGCGAAGAGGAUUAGAUACCCUCGUAGUCCAUGCCGUAAACGAUGUGUGUUAGACGUUGGAAAUUUAUUUUCAGUGUCGCAGCGAAAGCGAUAAACACACCGCCUGGGGAGUACGACCGCAAGGUUAAAACUCAAAUGAAUUGACGGGGACCCGCACAAGUAGUGGAGCAUGUGGUUUAAUUCGAAGAUACGCGCAGAACCUUACCAACACUUGACAUGUUCGUCGCGACUCUAAGAGAUUAGAGUUUUCGGUUCGGCCGGACGAAACACAGGUGCUGCAUGGCUGUCGUCAGCUCGUGUCGUGAGAUGUUGGGUUAAGUCCCGCAACGAGCGCAACCCUCACUUUUAGUUGCCAUCAUUAAGUUGGGCACUCUGAAAGAACUGCCAGUGAUAAGCUGGAGGAAGGUGGGGAUGACGUCAAGUCCUCAUGGCCCUUACGUGUUGGGCUACACACGUGCUACAAUGGCAUCUACAACAGGAAGCAAAACGGCAACGUUAAGCAAAUCCCGAAAAGAUGCCUCAGUUCGGAUUGCACUCUGCAACUCGAGUGCAUGAAGCUGGAAUUACUAGUAAUCGCGGAUCAGCGCGCCGCGGUGAAUACGUUCCCGGGUCUUGUACACACCGCCCGU